UACGAAGGGGGCUAGCGUUGUUCGGAAUUACUGGGCGUAAAGCGCACGUAGGCGGAAUGUUAAGUCAGGGGUGAAAUCCCGGGGCUCAACCCCGGAACUGCCUUUGAUACUGGCAUUCUCGAGUCCGGAAGAGGUGAGUGGAAUUCCGAGUGUAGAGGUGAAAUUCGUAGAUAUUCGCAAGAACACCAGUGGCGAAGGCGGCUCACUGGCCCGGUACUGACGCUGAGGCACGAAAGCGUGGGGAGCAAACAGG
rnacentral:rRNA from 1 species